GGCUCAGAUUGAACGCUGGCGGCAUGCUUUACACAUGCAAGUCGAACGGUAACAGGCCGCAAGGUGCUGACGAGUGGCGAACGGGUGAGUAAUAUAUCGGAACGUACCUUAUUGUGGGGGAUAACGCAGCGAAAGUUACGCUAAUACCGCAUACGACCUGAGGAUGAAAGCGGGGGAUCGCAAGACCUCGCGCGAUUGGAGCGGCCGAUAUCAGAUUAGGUAGUUGGUGAGGUAAAGGCUCACCAAGCCAACGAUCUGUAGCUGGUCUGAGAGGACGACCAGCCACACUGGAACUGAGACACGGUCCAGACUCCUACGGGAGGCAGCAGUGGGGAACUUUGGACAAUGGACGCAAGUCUGAUCCAGCCAUUCCGCGUGCAGGACGAAGGCCUUCGGGUUGUAAACUGCUUUUGUACAGAACGAAAAAGUCUCUAUUAAUACUAGGAGCUCAUGACGGUACUGUAAGAAUAAGCACCGGCUAACUACGUG
rnacentral:rRNA from 1 species